UACGUAGGGGGCAAGCGUUGUCCGGAUUUAUUGGGCGUAAAGAGCGUGUAGGCGGCCUGACAGGUCUGCUGUGAAAACUCGAGGCUCAACCUCGAGAUGUCGGCGGAAACCGUCUGGCUAGAGUCCGGAAGAGGAGAGUGGAAUUCCUGGUGUAGCGGUGAAAUGCGCAGAUAUCAGGAAGAACACCUAUGGCGAAGGCAGCUCUCUGGAACGGUACUGACGCUGAGACGCGAAAGCGUGGGGAGCGAACAGG
rnacentral:rRNA from 1 species